UAUAAGGGAAGCAAACAGAAGGGUAGUAAAGUAAUAAUCAUUCAACAAUCAAGAGUUCACCAAGAUCAUCGUCGUGACGGCAAGCUUCCAAACAAGUCUGUAGUAAUCACCAGCUUGGCCAACUGUCAGAUAGUAUCUACCAGGGGAGUAUGUCAGAGAAGGAGAGAACCAUGUCUGGGACAACAAAAUCACACAUGUUUUUGCACAAGGCAGGGGGGUUCCUAAAGGACAAAGAACAACUGGUGAUCUGCAAGCUAGCUUCACCUGGCAUUGAGGAGCGUCCAGAGAUUCAAAUAUUCACCGAUGGAUCCGGAGAACCAAAUUCUAUCGUCAAAGUAAAAUCCUUCGCAGCCGUGCAAAAGGGCGACC